CGGCUGAUGUUUACAUUAGUGAUGCUGAGACAUUCGCAUUCCACGUAGAGAUUAACCAGCUUGUUAGCUUGACCAUCAAUACCUUUACAGCAACAAAGAAAUAUUCCUAGGCCAACUUAUCAGCAAUUGCAAUGAUGCCUUGGACAAAAUUAGACAGAUAAUAGCAAGCUUGAUGCUCAACCGGAGUUUUUCAUCAGGCUCGUCCCUGAUAAGACCAACAAUACCCUCUCUAUCAUUAACAGCGGUAUCGGCAUGACCAAAGCAGAUUUGGUGAACAACUUGGAUACAAGGUCGGGGACCAAGGAGUACAGAACCACAAAUCAAGCCUAGAAAGGGAAACACCAAUACAAAGACAUCUAAAACCAAAACCCCUACAGCGAUCCAGAUGUUGAGAACAAAGCAAUA